UACGGAGGGGGGCUAGCGUUGUUCGGAAUUACUGGGCGUAAAGCGUACGUAGGCGGCUUUGUAAGUUAGAGGUGAAAGCCCGGGGCUCAACCCCCGGAAUUGCCUUUUAAGACUGCAUCGCUUUGAACGUCGGAGAGGUGAGUGGAAUUCCGAGUGUAGAGGUGAAAUUCGUAGAUAUUCGGAAGAACACCAGUGGCGAAGGCGGCUCACUGGACGACUGUUGACGCUGAGGUACGAAAGCGUGGGGAGCAAACAGG
rnacentral:rRNA from 1 species